UGCCUAAUACAUGCAAGUCGAGCGAACAGAUAAGGAGCUUGCUCCUUUGACGUUAGCGGCGGACGGGUGAGUAACACGUGGGUAACCUACCUAUAAGACUGGAAUAACUCCGGGAAACCGGGGCUAAUGCCGGAUAACAUGUUGAACCGCAUGGUUCUACAGUGAAAGACGGUCUUGCUGUCACUUAUAGAUGGACCCGCGCCGUAUUAGCUAGUUGGUGGGGUAACGGCCUACCAAGGCGACGAUACGUAGCCGACCUGAGAGGGUGAUCGGCCACACUGGAACUGAGACACGGUCCAGACUCCUACGGGAGGCAGCAGUAGGGAAUCUUCCGCAAUGGGCGAAAGCCUGACGGAGCAACGCCGCGUGAGUGAUGAAGGUCUUCGGAUCGUAAAGCUCUGUUGUUAGGGAAGAACAAAUGUGUAAGUAACUGUGCACAUCUUGACGGUACCUAACCAGAAAGCCACGGCUAACUACGUGCCAGCAGCCGCGGUAAUACGUAGGUGGCAAGCGUUAUCCGG
rnacentral:rRNA from 1 species